rnacentral:lncRNA from 1 species
CAUGAAUCAAAAUGUCUUAUUUUCUGGAUGUUAUGGGACUAAGGUUAAGGUGAGGUAAAAGAGAGUAAAAGAAAAGGUUCAAAUCAAAGAAAGUAGAACAUUCUGAAAAAUGAUAUUUCAAACAAGAUAUUCCAUUAAAACACAUAAUUUUUCCAACUUUAAUCAUCAAUGCUUCUCUUUCAACAUAAAACCUUAAGAACAUAAAUGAAUUACUUUUUUUUAUUCUUUUCUUUUCUUUUUUCUUUUUUUCUUUUUUGUUUUUCACCUUUGGCAACUUUACCCAUCUUUUCAUCAAGCGUCACUUUUUCUUUCUUUUCACAUAAUUUCCAACUAUAAUUCCAUGAGAUAUCACAAGUAUAUGCUCUACUAAUCCUUGGCUAGGGGAAAAGGAAAACAUAUAAGAAGUUCAGGUUUACACAUAGUUAAAGUAAAGAAAAAUAACAAGCUCAAAAGAGGCUCAUUAAGGAUAAUAUGCUUUAGGUUGACUUUUUGGUUCAAGUGGUUAAAAUUCCUAAUGCCUUUAUCAUCUUCAUGUAUAUAUGUAAUGCGAAUGUAAUCUCCACAAGUUCUAGAGAUACAUACCAUUGAAAGAAUGCACAAUCAAAGAAUAUAAUUGAGGGAGAGAGGGAAAGAGAGUGCAGUAGAACAAAAAAAAAAAGGGUGGCAACCAUAAGAGAAGAAACACAAACUCUCCUCUUUACAAACCAGAAAUCAUGUUUUCUUCCAUCUUUAGAAGUAGUUGUUCAAUAAAUAUGUAAAGCUAAACUUGUUACAGCUAUGAUUUCAGUAGCUUUUCUCUUAACACUACUAUGGUUUCGACUACUGUUUGGGACAUUACAACUAGCCACUAUCCUACUAACAUCUUCCACAAAAUUAGGAAUAACAUCCUCCUCCUAAUCACCAUUUCCUUCCGCAAAAUUUUUGUCAACAUUACUUGAAUUUCCCAAUCCAUCACCACCAUGAUCUUCUUCAGAAGUCAUUCCUUGAGAUGAAGCCCAUUCAUGUUGUCGGUGAAGACCAUUUUUCAUGACAAUAAACUAAAGAUAAUCAAAUUCUAUGGAGACUAUUAUGACAUAUUAAUGUCAACAUUUUGAUGGCUAAUUCACUAACAACAGUAAUGAUAAAUAGUUUCAGAUCUAUUACGAAUCAUGUUAGAAAUUAAAAAAAAAAAAACAAUUACCGUAUAAAAAGUACAAAUUGCUAGAACCCAUUCCAGAAGCAUAAAAAUAAUAAUUAGUCAUUGCAUUCUAUCAUGAAUUAAUAAACCAACAAUUACAUGCACAGUAAGUUCCUUGAAGCAAGCCAGUAAAAAAAUAAGCUCAAUAGAAGAUUAGACGAAAGAUAGAUUUUGAACAUGGCAACAACAAAUCGAUAAUCAUAACAAAUAAAAUGAAGUAAUUAAUGGCAGUAAACAACAAAUGCAUCGAACUCACUGAAAUAAGGAAGAAGUUUGAUGUUGUCGUUGUGGAUGUAAUUAACGUUGAACAAAAUGUUGGUGUUCAGUGCCUUUUCUGCAGGCUUGUGUUGUGAUUAUGGAAGAGUUUGGAGGAUACUGUGUAGAUCUAGUUGCUUUGGUUUCUCUAUAGAUCCAGAUCUUGUAGGAGGUUUCUGCAGACUGGUUUCUCAUGGAAAGAAUGAGGUUAUUUUUUGCCUUUCUUUAGAAACGAUAAAGGAGACGAGCAGGGCAGCAGAGACUUUUAUGGUAACCCUGGGCAAACAUUAAAGAAUAUUUAAGAACCCAACUAAAAAACCAUGUAUACACUGCUGUGCAAUGAACUGCGUUUUCAACUCAAAUUUUAUAUGGGACCCGCUUCACAAAAC